AUAUUAUAAAAUGUUAUGGUAAAGUGUAGUAUUUGUUCUUAUCAGUUUAAUAUCUGACAUUUGGGUCAUUGACCCCUCUUGAUAUUAAUUUUAUUGUUUUAUGGGGGAACAUCCAUUAUCUUAGUUUGGUGAUGUGUAUUUUCAUGCAUCGUCUUGAGCUUCCAAUACUGUUUCUACAACUUACGCACCGCUC